rnacentral:lncRNA from 1 species
UAAAAACAUGUCCUUGUUUGGGUUGCAUUCCUUCAAUACUAGCAAGAUUUAGGUCUUGGUAGCUCAUUGCCCCCCAGGUGAGGGAUGUGCAGAUGUUUGACACGAAGAUGCCUGGCCUCUGGGGAGUGAAGACUGAUGGAAACUCUUGGCCCAUUGAUGGCAUGGCCAAAUGCAAGAACCCCAUUCUGAACACUUGUGAACAUUUGUGAAAAAUCAGACUGGGCAUGACCUUGUCUGCCUGAAAGACCCUCCUCUUUGCAUAGGAUUUCUGCUAACAGGAGAUAAUGGCAGCUUCUCCUAGGGAAAACAGUGAAGGGUACUUCAGAAACACAACAGCUAUUGAAUGUUAUUUUCUGAUUAGUGCAGUUAAAUAAUGAGAAGGACUCGUAGCAGUAUUACCAUUUCCACUUGUCACUCAAAAUCAUGGCAGUAUUAUUGCAAAAGAGAAGUUCCCGCUGCAUUAGCAACUCGUAUUUCUGACGCAGGAAGAGGAGUUAAACCACCAUGCGCACAAAGUCUUUCUGCCUCUGCCCCAGCAUAUUGCUUUUUCAAUUUGACACAACCCUUCUCUUGGUACAUGUCCUGAGGUACCUUUUUUUUUUUUUUUUUUUUCCAUCUUCACUGAAAUGAAAUGAUAGCAGAAUUUAGCUUUAGGUCUUCUGUUCAUUUACUGUCUUUUGCUUUGUUUCAUUUGGAACUACUACUUACAGGAUUUUUCUUGAUAUAAUGCUGGCUUUUUCAAGUGAAAAUCUUAUGCUAAAAUCUCAAGACAAAAUGUGUGCAGAAGAUGCCUUUGUCAGGAAUUUUGCUUGGGUAUUCAAAAAUUAAACAAAAAUAAGCAAAAUGGAACUAUACCAGUGUGCUAUCUAUCCUGCAACAUCAGAUUGUAUUCAGGCAGUAGUGGACAUUGAAGACAUUACAGCCUAAAGAACAUAUUAUGCCUUAAAACACUUAUGUCUGUCUGCCUGGAAAUUGGAUGCAAAGAAGGCAAUGGCAACCUAGAAAGAGCAAGUGAACUGGUGUAAAUUGAUAUAACACUGUGAAAGUCAGUAAAAAAUACAACAAACUGAGCAUCUUCACAGUAUCUCAAAAGUAUGGCUUCCUGUUCAGCAAAUGGCAUUUAACUCUUUGAGUGACUGUUAUAUUAAAG